rnacentral:rRNA from 1 species
UACGUAGGGCGCAAGCGUUAUCCGGAAUUAUUGGGCGUAAAGAGCUCGUAGGCGGUUUGUCGCGUCUGCCGUGAAAGUCCGGGGCUCAACUCCGGAUCUGCGGUGGGUACGGGCAGACUAGAGUGAUGUAGGGGAGACUGGAAUUCCUGGUGUAGCGGUGAAAUGCGCAGAUAUCAGGAGGAACACCGAUGGCGAAGGCAGGUCUAUGGGCAUUAACUGACGCUGAGGAGCGAAAGCAUGGGGAGAGAACAGG